UAGGGAAUAUUGGGCAAUGGACGCAAGUCUGACCCAGCCAUGCCGCGUGCAGGAUGACUGCCCUAUGGGUUGUAAACUGCUUUUGUACAGGAAGAAACCCCUUUACGUGUAGAGGGCUGACAUUACUGUAAGAAUAAGGAUCGGCUAACUCCGUGCCAGCAGCCGCGGUAAUACGGAGGAUCCAAGCGUUGUCCGGAUUUAUUGGGUUUAAAGGGUGCGUAGGCGGACCAUUAAGUCAGAGGUGAAAGUUUGCAGCUUAACUGUAAAAUUGCCUUUGAAACUGGUGGUCUUGAGUAUAGUUGAGGUGGGCGGAAUGUGUCAUGUAGCGGUGAAAUGCUUAGAUAUGAUACAGAACACCGAUUGCGAAGGCAGCUCACUAAACUGUAACUGACGCUGAGGC
rnacentral:rRNA from 1 species